GCGUGUAUCAGCUUACACAUGCAAGUCGAGCGGGGAGUAGCUUGCUACCUAACCUAGCGGCGGACGGGUGAGUAAUGCUUAGGAAUCUGCCAUUUAGUGGGGGACAACAUUCCGAAAGGAAUGCUAAUACCGCAUACGUCCUACGGGAGAAAGCAGGGGAUCUUCGUGACCUUGCGCUAAAUGAUGAGCCUAAGUCGGAUUAGCUAGUUGGUGGGGUAAAGGCCUACCAAGGCGACGAUCUGUAGCGGGUCUGAGAGGAUGAUCCUGCCACACUGGGACUGAGGACACGGCCCAGACUCCUACGGAGCAUGGGGAAUA
rnacentral:rRNA from 1 species